AAUUAUCAAAACCUUUUCUUUGAUCCUUUUCGGUCAGGAAAAGGAUUUUUGGACUUGGAGGUUCCAUGCUUGCUUUUGCUCAUGAAAGCGAGCUCCUCUCAAAUGAAUUAGUGGGGUCCGCUUUGCUGAUCCUUGAUGUGAUAAAGAUGUUUCUACAUUUUGGAUUUAGCACUGUCCCUUGGACACCUGCUCCUAACUGUCUCUUGGACAAUGAUGGUGCUUCGGUCCCCGCCAUCUACAUUGGCGGAAGGCUGGACCCAUCAAA
rnacentral:misc_RNA from 1 species